rnacentral:rRNA from 1 species
UACGGAGGGUGCAAGCGUUAUCCGGAUUCACUGGGUUUAAAGGGUGCGUAGGUGGGUUGAUAAGUCAGUGGUGAAAUCCCCGAGCUUAACUUGGGAACUGCCAUUGAUACUAUUGAUCUUGAAUACCGUGGAGGUCAGCGGAAUAUGUCAUGUAGCGGUGAAAUGCUUAGAUAUGACAUAGAACACCGAUAGCGAAGGCAGCUUACUACAUGUUCAUUGACGCUGAGGCACGAAAGCGUGGGGAGCAAACAGG